rnacentral:rRNA from 1 species
ACGCCGUGUGAGGGAUGAAGGNCUUCNGAUUGUAAACCUCUGUCAGAAGGGAAGAANUGCAUCGGGUCCAAUAGGCCUGAUGUUUGACGGUACCUUCGGAGGAAGCACCGGCUAACUCCGUGCCAGCAGCCGCGGUAAUACGGAGGGUGCAAGCGUUAUUCGGAAUUACUGGGCGUAAAGCGUACGUAGGCGGCAUAGUAAGUCAGGUGUGAAAUCCCACGGCUCAACCGUGGAACUGCACUUGAAACUGCUAAGCUUGAGUACUGGAGGGGGUGGCGGAAUUCCUGGUGUAGGAGUGAAAUCCGUAAAUAUCAGGAGGAACACCAGUGGCGAAGGCGGCCACCUGGACAGUAACUGACGCUGAGGUACGAAAGCGUGGGUAGCAAACAGGAUUAAAUACCCUGGUAGUCCACGCUGUAAACAAUGGAUACUAGAUGUCGGGGCCUUGAGCUUCGGUGUCAAAGCUAACGCAUUAAGUAUCCCGCCUGGGGAGUACGGUCGCAAG